UUCCCAGCAACUCCUAUGCCUACCUCCUCGUGGUAAUGGCCAGGGUACGAGUAAUCUUAAGAAAGAUCGGGUAACCAACCCCGGUGGGAACUCUGGUCGUAUGCUGACAGGGAAGG
rfam:Aedes aegypti strain Liverpool supercont1.1187 genomic scaffold, whole genome shotgun sequence.